CCUUAGGGCGAAGAUAGUACAGGACAGUGGCGGAUGGGUGAGUAACGCGUAAGAAACCUGCCUUUCACACCGGGAUAGCAGCUGGAAACGGCUAUUAAUACCGGAUGACACUUUUUCCCCGCAUGAGGAAGAGGUUAAAGAAUUUCGGUGAAAGAUGGUCUUGCGUCUGAUUAGCUAGUUGGUGGGGUAACGGCCUACCAAGGCGACGAUCAGUAGCCGGCCUGAGAGGGUGUACGGCCACAUUGGGACUGAGACACGGCCCAAACUCCUACGGGAGGCAGCAGUGGGGAAUUUGGCACAAUGGAGGAAACUCUGAUGCAGCGACGCCGCGUGAACGAAGAAGGUCUUCGGAUUGUAAAGUUCUGUCCUGGGUGAAGAUAAUGACGGUAACUCAGGAGGAAGCCCCGGCUAACUACGUGCCAGCAGCCGCGGUAA
rnacentral:rRNA from 2 species